rnacentral:rRNA from 1 species
GACAGAGGGGGCAAGCGUUGCUCGGAAUCACUGGGCGUAAAGGGCGCGUAGGCGGGCUGGCAAGUCGGUCGUGAAAUCCUUCGGCUCAACCGAAGAACGUCGGCCGAUACUGCCGUUCUUGAGGGAUGCAGAGGAGAUUGGAAUUCCCGGUGUAGCGGUGAAAUGUGUAGAGAUCGGGAGGAACACCGGUGGCGAAGGCGGGUCUCUGGGCAUCACCUGACGCUGAGGCGCGAAAGCGUGGGGAGCAAACGGG